rnacentral:rRNA from 1 species
UACGGGGGGGGCAAGCGUUGUUCGGAAUUACUGGGCGUAAAGGGCUCGUAGGCGGCCAACUAAGUCAGACGUGAAAUCCCUCGGCUUAACCGGGGAACUGCAUCUGAUACUGGAUGGCUAGAGAUUGGGAGAGGGAUGCGGAAUUCCAGGUGUAGCGGUGAAAUGCGUAGAUAUCUGGAGGAACACCGGUGGCGAAGGCGGCGAUCUGGACGGAUAUUGACGCUGAGGUGCGAAAGCGUGGGGAGCAAACAGG